UAGUCAUAUGCUUGUCUUAAAGAUUAAGCCAUGCAUGUCUAAGUAUAAACAAAUUUAUACUGUGAAACUGCGAAUGGCUCAUUACAUCAGUUAUAGUUUAUUUGAUAGUACCUACUACAUGGAUAACCGUAGUAAUUCUAGAGCUAAUACAUGCAACAAAUCCCGACUUCUGGAAGGGAUGUAUUUAUUAGAUACAAAACCAACAUCCUGGUUGAUUCAUAAUAACUGAGCGAAUCGCUGCCUUCGGGCGCGAUGAAUCAUUCAAAUUUCUGCCCUA
rnacentral:rRNA from 1 species